rnacentral:rRNA from 1 species
UACGGGGGGGGCAAGCGUUGUUCGGAAUUACUGGGCGUAAAGGGCUCGUAGGCGGCCAACUAAGACAGACGUGAAAUCCCUCAGCUUAACUGGGGAACUGCGUCUGAUACUGGAUGGCUUGAGUUCGGGAGAGGGAUGCGGAAUUCCAGGUGUAGCGGUGAAAUGCGUAGAUAUCUGGAGGAACACCGGUGGCGAAGGCGGCAUCCUGGACCGACACUGACGCUGAGGAGCGAAAGCCAGGGGAGCAAACGGG